GACGAACGCUGGCGGCGUGCUUAACACAUGCCAGUCGAACGGAAAGGCCCCUUUGGGGGUACUCGAGUGGCGAACGGGUGCGUAACACGUGAGUAACCUGCCCUUGACUUCGGGAUAACUUCAGGAAACUGGGGCUAAUACCGGAUAGGAAUCCUUGCUGCAUGGUGGGGGUUGGAAAGCUUCGGCGGUUUUGGAUGGACUCGCGGCUUAUCAGCUUGUUGGUGGGGUAGUGGCUUACCAAGGCUUUGACGGGUAGCCGGCCUGAGAGGGCGACCGGCCACAUUGGGACUGAGAUACGGCCCAGACUCCUACGGGAGGCAGCAGGGGGGAAGAUUGCACAAUGGGCGGAAGCCUGAUGCAGCAACGCCGCGUGCGGGAUGACGGCCUUCGGGUUGGAAACCGCGUUCAGCAGGGGCGAAGCUUGUGGUGACGGUACCUGCAGAAGAAGCACCGGCUAACUACGUG
rnacentral:rRNA from 1 species